CAUUUGGAUAAUCCGUAGCCCUUGAAGUUGCCCAUUGAACAGAACAGUGACGUAGUUACACCGAUGCUGGCGCGGAUUUACACCACCAGGGGCAAUUUCAUGACGGAGCCCAGUGUGGACAUGUCGGCGGCUUCACCGGCGGAAUGCAAGGCAAUAGUUACCAACAAACGGAAGAUUAUGGGAUGAAGGUUCUGUGGUUACUGCAUCACUGGGCACGGCUACACAGUGGAUGACGGCAAGCUGAGGCCGGUCUCCAAGUUUCCACGGCCGGAGAAUGUGACCGACCUCCGGUCCUUCAUGGGACUCACAAACCAGUUGAGCGACUUCUCUUCGGAGCUCGCCUGCCUGGCUCAGCCUCUACGAGACCUGCUGAAACAGAAGACGGUGUGGAACUGGGCCGUCCUACACGAAGACGCAUUCCAGUGUGAAGAAUGCGCUGGUGGCGCCGCCUAUCCUGGCCUUCUUCGACCCGCUCGCCCAGACGGCGCUGCACACCGACGCCUCACGGAUUCGCGGCCUCGGUUUCGCGCUCAUGUAGCGACAUGCAGGCACCUGGAAGAUACAGUGCGGAUCUCAGUUUUUAACCGACACAGUGUCACGA